rnacentral:lncRNA from 1 species
UGAGGUUUGAACUUAUAAACAAAGAAUCAAAGAUGCUUGAGAUAAGGGAUCAUUGCGCACCGAUGCUGUCACUUUACAGAGUUGGCGAUUUAUGAGAUGCUCAUAGAAAUCUAAAACAGACUAGCACUCAAAUGUCGGCAUCUGACAUUUCUAGUAACUAAUUAGACCAUUUUCGGAUUUUCCCCCUUCAAAAAAAAAACAAUACACCUUUUCUUCCAAUCAGGGUGUGAUGACAAAUUUCUAAUAGCAACAAGUAAUUUAAACUACAACCAAAAUAGUAAUCCUCCAUGUUAAGAGUCUCUUUUGAAUGCACACCAAAACUCAUGCUUGAGAUCUCACCCUCUCCGAUGUGGUUUGCAGGCUAUUGCACAUGAUCGAGAUCUAUCCGAUGCGCACCUCGAGUAGCGGCUACGGGUUUUCGAGCUUAGGCAUGAUUGAGUUUACCUCAAUCAAUCAUUCUGGAGGUCUUUUUCCAUCUUGAUUUUGACCUAAUUCCCACCACUCGCCAUUAUUUUCCCUCCCUAAAAGGGAUUCACCUUCAUCAUAACUUAAGCAACCAAUAUCUGAAUCUGAAUUUGAAUCCGAAUCCUUACUUUCAAUCUCAUGGAAAUACCUUCUCUUGUCUCUCUCAGGAUCAUACGUCCAUUCCAGUUCUGCAGAACAUUCCGAUCUUUCCACUUCCCAGCGACUGAUACCGCCUCCUUUCUCGCCUUCCCAAUCAUGAUCUCCUGCCAAGAGAAAGCAGCAUCCGCAACCCUCUUGAGAGCACCAUCACUGCUAUCACCAACCACCACCGUUUUCAAGCACCUCAGCCUCGCCUCCUUCAAGAUCUCCACGAAAUCCGAAUCAUCUGACACAAGAACCAAGCAUUCAACCAUUCUCCGGUCCAUCAUAUCCACCAUCCGGUUCCUUAACUCAACAUCAGCAGCCUGUGGCUUGUCUGAGACCGUCUUCACCCAGAAUCCAGCUCGUUUCAGCUCAUCAGCCAAACCAUACCCGACCUUCGGGGCCAAUAUAUCCCUAGCGCAUUCCUAUACUUCUCCAUCUUCACAGCAUUCCUAGCCACCAAAUUCAGCCUCCUCUUCCCCCUUGCAGACUCAAUCUGGUUCAACCGUUUCAUCUGCUCGCGCUCAUGAAUUUGCCUAAAAUGAUUAAGGAACCUCUCAUUGUUGUAAAAUCUCCUCCCACAGACUUUGCAUACAUAUGGUUCAUCUGGCUUCACAAUGCCCUUGUUUUCCAACUCAUUCAGUGAUUUCCUCUCUUUCCUUUGUUCCCUAAUUGCAGGAGGCACGUAGCUGAACGCAUGCCGAUUAGCAUAAGCAAUCAUGUACUUGACAAAACCAAAUUGUUGAGCAGCCUUCUUUAUCCUAAGUGCUGCAUCAUACGGAGGAAAUGAUUUCGGUGGCUUGUUAUCCAAAUCCCAGAAAAUUGCAACAUUUCUAUCUGCAACAUUCUGCUCCAAACCUUGUGGAGUUUUUGAAUCAUGAUUCUUAUUUGAAAUUGAGGAAAAAUUACUCCAUCCACAAAUUGAAUAAGACGGGGCUAAAGCUCGAAUCUUUUUGUAUAAAUGUAAGUUGUUGAAAGUUGUCUGGUAUUUGGGAGGAUUCAGCAUAUUCAGAGGCUCUGUUCUGAUGCAGAAACAAAUCGAGAAGGCUAAUCAGAAAGCGAGGUAAUUCUAGAAAGCUCCGAACUAGAAACAUCGAUGUGCUCAAAUUCAUCAACUUUAUUUAACUCUUUCCACCAGUAGAAUCAAUUAUCAAUUUCUAUUGAUGGAUAAAUAUCAACGCUGAAGCAAAGUAUAUGACUAACAUACGACGGAAAGCUAAAUCUCUUUCUUUUCUAGUUGUAGUUUUAGCCUGUCAAUUGUGCUUUUAUUAAAAAAAUUACAUCACCACAAUAGUAUUGCUAUAGGCAAUUCAAAAACAUCUCAGAAAAUAUAAACAAUCAACCAAAUUGAGCAUAAAUAAAGAUUGAUGACGAAGACAAUGUUGUGAAAGUGCAGAAAGUUGUGGUNGAUAGGAUAAAUAAUCAACGACUGAAGCAAAGUAUAUGACUAACAUACGACGGAAAGCUAAAUCUCUUUCUUUUCUAGUUGUAGUUUUAGCCUGUCAAUUGUGCUUUUAUUAAAAAAAUUACAUCACCACAAUAGUAUUGCUAUAGGCAAUUCAAAAACAUCUCAGAAAAUAUAAACAAUCAACCAAAUUGAGCAUAAAUAAAGAUUGAUGACGAAGACAAUGUUGUGAAAGUGCAGAAAGUUGUGGUUGAGCUCGAGUUUUAUCAUCCAAUCAACCCAAAUACACGCGAGAAUAAACAGAUAAAAUGAUGAGUAACAAAUAGAGAUUGAUGGCGACAAGUAUUGAGUUAGUAUCUUACCAUUUCGAAGAGCAACUAUGAGCCCUGCGAGUGAAUGAAGUUUUGUGCACAGGAAAUGGCGUUUAGGAGAGAGGGAGAAGAGAUAGUCAACUAACUGGGCCGCUUCGGUAUGGGUAGAUCAAGUUUCAGUCCUGGGCCGGGUCUACUUUGUUGUUAAUCCAAGCCCAACUUCAAUAAUUUUAUUUGUUUAUGUUAAUCACAAGACAUGUAGAAAUAUAUAAUCACACAUAGGUAAUUAACUUGAUAACUAAGUAUUGACAAACAAUUAUCUAAAAUUUUUAAAAAGUAUAUACCAUGACUUUGAAUUUAUCAACCUAUUAUUAACUAAUAAAAGUGAAAUUAAAUGAUAAAAAAUAAUUAUAUACCCUAGAUUGAUGGAAUAAACCCUAGUUAAUAAUCACAAAAUUAAAUUAAAGCAUAUAAAGUUGAAAUUGAAGAAAAAAUAUAUGAGAAAAUAAAUAAAAUUGAAAGUUGGACACAAAGUGGAAUAUAAAGUGUGGUACACUGAAUUUAAUUCCCUUUAAAAUAAGCUUAGCCAAACACCCUCUUAAUGUCUUCCAAUAUCCAUGUUGAAGAAAUUGUUAGAUACGCAAGGGAAUAGGGUGGCCGAGGGCAAGGGAAUUAGACCAUAAACUCAUACGAAAGCUUGGUUGAAUUAAUUAAAUUUAAGCUCAGGUACAGCCGAGAAGAUAACUUAUGCAAUAGAUUGGAUUUUUUUAGAGGAAAUAGAUUGGAUUUUUGUUGUGUUAAUUUUACAUAUAAAUUGUUGGGUGUUGAAUAUUUAAAUGCUUUCGGGAAGUGUGAUAAUAUAUUUAUAUUAUUCUUUAAAGUUUUUNUUUUCUUUAAUAUGGUAUGGAUUAUGAAUCAAGGUGAGCUGAUAGGAGGUUUAAUCUUACAAUAAUGCAAUUGUCUUAGUUUAAUAAUUUGACAUGUUGUAUCUUUCUCCUCAUUGAAAAUUUGUACAAUGUAAUAAUUUAUUAUUAAUUUUUUUUUUUUUUUUGUGAUUUGAAUUUCUAUUUAUGUUUAAAUAGUUUGUGUGAUGCAUUUUUUCACAAUGGCAAAAUAGUAGCAAGAGAUUGGGGUUAGAGGCAAUAUAAUUACGUAACUAAAAAAAUAGUAAUAGUUGAACGAAUAUAUAAUUGCAGCCAAAGCAGACGAUGCAAAAUAAUUAAUUUAUAUUUUCAAUGAUAAAGUGAUUAUUCAUUUCAAACUACUUUAGUUUUAUUUCAACACAAUUUUAAUAUUUGUUGGUUUGCAGUGAUUUUUGAUAUAUUGCAAUUUGAAGACUUCUUUUAAUGACAAAUUCAAUGUUUCUUUAUUUAGUCUUUGUAAUAUUAGUUUUUAUUUAGAAUUUAUUUGUAUAAUAUCCCUCCAUCCCAAUUAAAUUAUUUUUUUAAUACGUAAUUUAAGAAAUUAAUGUUUCAAAUAUAUUUUAUAAUAAAAUGAAUAAAUAAUUAAAUAUUUUUACACGGAUGAGUGUACUAGUUUAUAAAUAAGGGUUAAGGUGCAAAUAGACCCUUAUAGCGUGUUGCUCCCUAUACUCACUGUGUGUGCAAAUAGACCUUUAUAGUCCGAAAAAUCAUACAUUUAAACCCUUCUGGCCUAACGCCGUCCAACUCCGUUAGUCAAACUUUUUUUUUCUUUUUUAAAAAUUCAAAUCCCUUCCUCCGGCGAGGCCAGUGCUCUUCCUCCGGCGUCUAGUGCCCCUCGAGAACCGCCAAGCCACAGAAUCGGCCGUCGAAGCCCCGCUGCCAGAAUUCGGCCGUCGAAGCCAUGACACCAGCAACACCAGCUACACUGACUCGUGACACCAAUAGCAGCAUCCAACAGCUACUCCUUCCCUCUAUCGCCUUUCUCAGCGGCAGAAUCCUCACCGCGCACCNAAAUCCCUUCCUCCGGCGAGGCCAGUGCUCUUCCUCCGGCGUCUAGUGCCCCUCGAGAACCACCAAGCCACAGAAUCGGCCGUCGAAGCCCCGCUGCCAGAAUUCGGCCGUCGAAGCCAUGACACCAGCAACACAGCUACCUGACUCGUGACACCAAUAGCAGCAUCCAACAGCUAUCCUUCCCUCAUCGCCUUCAGCGGCAGAAUCCUCACCGCGCACCAGGAUUGCAGAAUCUUCAUCUGGACACUCAACGAUCAGAAGAAACACAAGCUCGUCGCCACCCUCCCCACCCUUGAGGACCGCCUCCGUCUCUUCAUUCUUCCCCAAAAUACGUCAGGGUUCCCGCCACAAGCAGCGCCUCUGGAUCAGUACCACGACGCUGUCUCCGACCUCGCCGCGAUAGACACCGCCGCGAAUUAACCUAAUCGUGUCGAUUUCAUGGGAGCGAAGAUCAAAUAUAUGGAACGCUCAAAAUCUCAAUUGCCUCCAAUCGAUUAACAAAGCUCACGACGACGCCAUCAAUGCCAUCGCGGUAUCGAUCGACAGAUUGAUCUACACCUGCUCCGCCGAUCGAAAAAUCAGAGUGUGGCAAAAAGAGGGGAAAUCGGAAAAAUACGCGGCAAUCGCUCAUCAGCGGAUUGCGAUCGACGUCAGGAUCUGGCAGCGCGCUUCAACGGCGGUUCUGCGCUUGGCGGUUCUCGAGGGCACCGGACGCGGAGGAUGGGCGCUGGCCUCGCCGGAGAAGGGGAUUUGAAUUUAAAAAAAAAAGUUUGACUAACGGUGUUGGACGGCGUUAGGUCAGAAGGGUUUAAAUGUAUGAUUUUUUGAACUAUAGGGGCCUAUUUGCACACACAGUGAGUAUGAAGAGCAAUACGCUAUUGGGGCCUAUACUACAAGGGCCUAUAUGCACCUUAACCCUAUAAAUAAUAAGUGGAGGGGCUGUACACUCCAAAUCAUAUACUCCCUCCAUCCCAAACGAAAUGUCCUGUUUUCCUUUUUGGGCUGUCCCAAACGAAAUGUCUUGUUUCCUUUUUUGGCAAUACACUCUCUCUCCACACUUAAUAUUUAAAUAAUUUCCACCAUCUCACUUUAUCUACUUUAUACACAUUUCUUAAUCUCCAUGCCGAAAAGAAAUAGGCCAUUUGGUUUGGGACAGAGUACUACUAAUUCACACGUGUGGGUGUACUUGCCUAUAAAUAGUAAGUGGGUGUACUAAUUCCGAUUAAAUUGAAAAUUUUGGAAAUUUCUUGAUUCUUUUUCAUCUGUCUUUUAUUUUGCGAUGGCUGCUGCAUACAGAUCAAGGUAUUCCACGAAUUCUAUCCUGUAAAUAACAGUUACGUAAUAUAGUAAUUUGAAGCUGAAACUACACGUUUUUUGUUCUGCGUCUGAUCGAUUGCUCCCGGAUUGAAACAGAGAUGGAUUGAGCACGCGGCCGGUGGGUUAUGGCGGCAAUUCCGAUGAGAUUCAGUUGCGAAUUGAUCCGAUGCAUUCAGAUUUCGACGAUGAGGUGACCGGUCUCCGGAAACAAGUUCGGAGACUUCGAGAUGUGAGUGAAUUUGUUGACUUCUCUAUAUCGUUAAUUCUUUUUUUUUUUUAGGGUUUUUUUUUUUCUAGAAACGGUGAAAGAGUGUAAUGUGGCCUGUUUUUCGAACAUGUACGAUGAGUUUUCAGUCACGAUGUGAUUCAUCACGGUUGAAUUUUUUGUGCGGUAUAUAUCAAAUUCAACACAAUUGUACAUAUUUAGAUGCUUUUGAUGGUAUUCGGUUUUGUUUAUUUUGGUGGAAUUGGAAGUGAUGAUGAUGUGUGUAAAUUGAAUGAAGUCGUGACUUAUUGUGAGCACUAUAGUUACAGUCACGAGGUGCUUAAAAAAUGAGAAUGUUGCGUGGCUUGAUCAAUUCGAGUUUAUGGAAACCUUACAUCCCAUGGACCCCCUGGACUAUGAGCACUAUAGUUACAGAGACAAGGUGCUUAAAAUAUAAGAAUGUUGUGUUGCUUGAUCGAUUCGAGAAUUUUCAUUUUUUCAGUUCCAUCUUUACGUGUGAAUCAUCAGCAUUGUUCAGUGGAGGGAGUUUCUGUUUGCGAAUGUGGUUUCUCGCUACUUUUUAGGACUAACUAUAGUUGCUGAUUUCACAAGGGAUUUCUUUGUAAUGGACUGUUAUAUCAGCUAUCAAUUUUGUAACAAUCCACAAGAAAUGAAUGACUUAAACAUAUACUUUUACUUAGAGUUGGUGCUUGCUAACACAUUUAUGAGUUUUUUCAAAUCAUAUCUUUCAUGGGCUAGCCAACUGAGUGCCAGACUUACGGCUUUUGCUUCCAUAAAACUUUACAGUUUGAUUUUCUUUUUAAUAAUGGAAUUUGGAAAUUGUAUUGUGUAUUAUCAUAUUAUGUGGUCUUUAAUAAUGUGGGUAUAAAGACUGUUUAGUCAUUUUAUAUUACUGGAAAUUGGUAAUUUUUACUGGAAAUCUACAUUAUAAUUGUGUUGCUUAAUUAUGAUUGAGUUCAUUACCUUUGGAUUAUCCUGUACAUGUAAGCUCCUAUCUACACUUUUCUGGUUUUAUUGGAAUUGUAUUAAAGGUUUCAUCCAUGACAUGAAAAGAUUUCCAUUUAAGUUUUCAAUUAAAAUUUUGAUGAAAACUGCAGCUUUUCUUCUAAUAUGGCUUAUGCAAAAUUGGAAACCACACAAGUAGUUUAUGUUUAUGCUAUAGUUUGUAUGUUAUUUAUGUUCACUUUAGGUUUGGUCUCAACUUUUGUUUGCUUGUGCAAUAUUGCAGGUAGCUCAAGAAAUUGAGACAGAAGCAACCUUUCAAAAUGAUUUCCUGAAUCAGCUGGUAUGUGUCAUAAACUAUAUUCAGCAUUUUGAACUAAUCUUUGAGAAAAAGGCUAUCCGACUCUAUAAUCACUAUGAGACUUCACUUUGGUAUCUUUUCGUAAAAUAUUUUGACUACGAAACCAUUAAUAUCCACUGUUCUAAGGUGGUAAAUUAUGUUCUACAACUUCCUGUGACCGUUCUUAUGUAAGCCAUCAAAAUUUUCAUUCCCACUAUUCGGAUGGGAAAUGCAGCUGUUGUAAGUUACUAAGUUGGUAGCUGGAAUCUCUUUAAUUGAAACACCAAGAUGAUUGCUUUGAAAUUUCUUCUAGGUUGGCUGUAAUUGAUUGAAGGGACGACACUGAAAAUAAUUGAAUAAAUGUUUACAUUGUGUGGCGAGUGUGACUUGCUGACUAUGCAAUGGUCAUCGUUAUCUGUAUGACCUUUACUAAUGCCAAGUGCCAACUGCUAAUAAUUAAAAUCUUGGAAAUUUGUACUGUUAACUUCUUAAGUUAGAUUUAUUGGAAUACUGGAAUGCCCCUGAAAACUUAUCGUGGAUUUGUGCUCAUGGCCUUUCAUGAAAAACCUUAUAAGGAUCUAAUAGGCUUUUAAACUCAUUGGUAGCAUAGAACUGACGUUGCUCUGUUUCUUUUACUUAUGUAGCAAAUGACAUUGAUUAAAGCUCAGGCAGGGGUGAAAAACAACAUGAGGAGACUCAACAAUAGCACCAUUUGGGAAGGAUCAAGCCAUGUAAUGCAUGUUAUCCUUUUUGCACUGCUUCUAUUUUUUCUGGUCUAUUUCUGGUCCAAAUUGUCACGAAGAUGAGUAUGCUUGAGAGUUCUGUCCUGCUCCACUGAGAUGUUGAGACGAGGUAACACCUGAAUGCUGGAUCUUGUAAAUGCUUGCAUUUGGUCCCAUCAUGAUGUAGCUAUCAUAAUUGAUUUACCUGUGUACAUGAAGUUUCUUGUAGAGGAAUGAAUUGUGAUUAAAAUAUUACUAGCAUCUUUGGCCAAGAACGAACUAUCAAGAUAUAAACUUCUAUUGGUCCUAAACCUAUUUCUCAGACAAUUGCGACCCACAUCACAAUAAAAGGAAAUAAAAAUAAAAGGAAUUGAAUGAUAAUUGUCAAAAUCCAUUAAUCAUACAUGUGUAUAUGUCUUCAUUUUUGUCAAACAUCUUUCGAGUAGUAUAUGGUUAGACUUUACUGAAUAGAUCUAAGUCUCUUUUAUUUAGAACUAGGUAGAGUGUGGAGCCAUGUUAACUGUACUUUUUUGGUUUAACUUUUAGAUGAUCAAAGUUAUUGUCCUAGGAUGGUAACAUUUAGCAUACAUGUUAAUUUACAUUUGCAGUAUAGUAGCAAGUAGGAUUAGCAUCUUCAUGGGUUUUCAAAUAUACUAUGGUCUAGAGCUACAAAAUGAUUGUAACUUUAUCAUUUUAGAUCAAAACCUAGCUACCCAUUUCCAUUAUCCACCUAUUUACUUUUAGAUCAAAACCUAGCCACACAUUCUCAUUAUAACCCUAUAAAUCUUCUUUUACUCACUUUUUCUGUUCCUUUUUCUCUCCCUUUUAGUGUGGGAAGAAUUAGCAUAAAUAUUUAAGAAUUAGUUAAGUGAAUUAGGGGCAGUCUUGAACUAAAUAUUUAAGAGAGAUUGAAAGGGCCACUGAUCUUUUUGUAGUUUCUUCUGUUUCUGUCAUAAAUUUUUGUCUAAAUACUUUUUUUUAACUCUAUUUAAACAACCCUCAUUAAAAUAGUGAGAAUAAGGUGGAUUGCACAUGCAUUACUCAACUUCUGUAAUAGUUCAACAUAUUGAAACAGUGAUAUGCUAAAUCUUGGCACAGUUAUUGUAGUUUGAGAAAGAAUAUGAAUAUGAAAUUAAUUGUUGUAAUCUCAAUUAUUAUGAUAUGAUGUUAUCAUUUAUUAGUAGCUCGAGGAAGAAUAUUACUCAUAUAAUAGUAUGAAGUUGAAAAUGACAUUUGAGAACAAGAAGAGAGGAUCAACAGUAUCUUUUGGAUUCUCUUUCAUCCCUCUCUCUUAUCUGCAUUUAUUUGUAUCAUCAGACAGAAAUAAGAACUGAGGACCAUUUAGUGGAUUAUCAAGAAACAAUUUACACAUGUGAAAAUACUUUUGUAAUUGUAACUUACAUUUAUUUACUCAUAAUCAAAUUAAAAAUAUUUUCAAUGAAGAUCAUUUUGUCACUCUCAAUAACUUUUUAUUUAAAUUGAUGCCAAUUUUAGGGAGGAAUGUUGUAAAUAAUUACUAAUAUCAUAAAAGUUUGGUGGGACGUACGGGUGGCGGCAGUUGAGAGGUACAACAUCUCUUUGAAAAUGUAGUCGGAAUCAAAUAAAUCGACAAUUAUUGUAAUAUAAAUUGGUAUUUACGAAGCGGAAUCUGGAUUUUAACAUUCUUGGUAUCAGUUGAAUAAAAUUGCGAUGUUAUUGGAAUUUUGUAUAUACCGAUAUAACAUUAACAUUUCAUAUCAUUAGGUUUUUCGGCACUCAGGAACACUUUAUUUCACCUAAUCCAUAUUAAUUUAUUUGGCUAUUUUAGCACAUCAUCAAUUAUACUCUUCAAUUGAUCAAUCUCGACCAUAAUUUUCGAGGGUCGUCUGAAGAAGAAUUACGAGUUUUAAUCAUUGCUCUAAAUUUAACUUUUAGAGCCAUACACUCAAACCCACUAACCUCUUUACCUGGACUUCCACCGUCUAUUGGUUGGGGUGGAAGCGAUUUACGUUUCAUCGUCAAUCAUUAUUCUCAUUUAAGCUACAAUAUUUUUAGAAACUAUUUUUCAAUUUGUUUGACUCGAUGACUUUAAUAGAAUUGAUUUAUGAUCAAAUUUGCAUCUCCUUGUUUUGAUGUUCGAAAUAUGAACAAGGCACCGAAGAUCAAACACGUUUAAUCUAAGUUAAAAGUUUCACCAGUAAUAUUGUACAUUAAAUUCAAAACAAUUGUUAUUGAUAAGUACCAAAUUUGGUAUUAUUAAAUUGAUAAAAUUAAUUAAUUGGGGGGCAUAAUUAUAAUCAAACUUCAAACCAUUAAUUGACGAAGAUUAAUAUAACAAAACCUAUAUGAUUGUUUAUCUAUGAUCAAAUAAAUCUUUGAUAAUCUAAUUAAGUAUAUUCGCUUUUGCACGCUUUGAUAAUCGUGUCGUCACCAAUGAGAUAUAUACUUGCGCAUGUAUAAAUAAAACCAAAAUUUCAACCUCAGCACUUGAGUUUUAAAUUGGAUGGUGCACAAGGGCGAACUAUAAAAUUAGGCACCAGAAUCCCUCUAGAAAUGCUCACUUUUUGUACAGUUUUCACAACUUUUAUUUAAAUAUGAUUUAGAAUAUUUAUUUGAGAAGCAUGCAUCAAAGUCAAGAUGCAAAAUAUAUAUUCAUGUCCUUCACAUCUUGAAAAAGUAUUGGGGAAUUAAGUGUAAAUCUUGGUUGAAAAUGAUUGAAGAUAGCUAAUAUACUCGGAGGAAAAGUCAUCUACCAUAUCUUCAAAAAGAGUUAGUAAAUAGUCAAUAUUUAUUUAUUCUUGUAAUUUCGUUCUAUUUAAAGAUGAAAGCGAUAAAUAUUAAACUAGGGGGAUUAAAAUGAUAAGGUAUAAUCUAUUAUUAAUAUGUUUCAUGCGGCACUUGUGAUAAGGAAUAAUCUAUAUGUAGAAGAUUCUUUAUUACGACUAUAAUAAAUGGCGAAUGCAAUGAUUUAAAUCAUUCAAAGAAUUACUAGAUAGAUAUGUUAGAGCAUCCAUACCCAAGAGGCCAAGAGCCCGCCCUUUAAGUGGUCUCCAAUAUCUCUAGAGAGCCCUUCUUUCACACACCCAUAAUCUCUUAAUUUGGAAUCUCUAAUUUUAUUUAUGUUUUCUUUUUAAUUUAAAUGUAUUUGUAGAUUAAAAUAAAUAUUGAAUUUUGUAAUGGGUAAAAUUCGUAUAGCCCCAUUUUAAAUGUAUAUUCGUAGCUCAAUUGGCUAGUCCAAUUAAAAAGAUCAAACUAAAUUCGAUUAACUUAGACCUGCCAUCCGAGUCAAACCCUAGAAAGAACGACGACUUCGGGAAAAAGACAGGAUAAAGUCACGAUUAUCAAUCCAUAAAAAUCGGAACGACUAAGACCUAAAGGUACGCACGGGUAAAACCCUAAAGGCUCUUUUGCUAUGAUAUAAAUACCAACCAAUUAGGUUAAUAGACCUCAUCGAAUCAUUCACACUUUUCAUCGAAUCAUUCACACUUUAACAUGUUCUUUCCACAAUCUCUCCCUACUCGCAUUACUCUGCCUCCACGCUCUCAAUCUUGGGUUUUCCUGUGACCAAACCAGCCUGGACGACCUUACCGCCCUCGCUUAUUGCUCAAUCGCUCUUCAACUCCGUCGACCAAAUGGACCCGAUUUGAUCAUUCCUUUACUAUUUUUCAAUUAUUUUCAAUACGAUUUUUUUAAUAUUGUUUACUAACUUGAGCGUCGGAGGCUCUUCCAUCGACACCCCCACCGGUGCUCCUAAAAAUGCUCUAACGUUGUUCGUAUUUCAGGUUGCUAGUGCCCAUCGUACCGGACAACCCCGACUUCCUUAUCCAUAAUUGUUGGAUCUAUCCCCAACAAAUUUUAACAACAAAAAUUUCGUUUAUGAUUAAAUUUCAACCUUACUUUAAUAAAAAAAAUUAUAAUAAUUUAAAAAAUCACAUUAUUUAAACUACAGCUGAAUUGGAUCAAAUCGUGCCCAAAUGUGCUCAUCAACUCGUCUUGGAGGUGAGCUUGCAUUCAUUUAUCGCGAAGGGAGUCUCCAGCCAAAUAUGCACAAAAUUUCGGCGUUUGAAUCAGAGGAAGAGUUCGAAGAAGAAGACAUGUUUUGAGGAGAAAAUGAGUAGUGGGAAUUGAAUUUGAUGCGAAAAAUGAAAGGAAAGAUGGAGAAAAGAACCGUUUUCAAAUGGCUAUUUUCUUUAAAAAAAAGAUCAACAAAAAAAAUCGUUGGAAAUAUAUACUCCUUCCGUCCUCCAAAUAAUUUCCUAGUAGGAGAUGACACGAAUUUUAAGAAAAAAUUGUUAAAUGUAUUAAUUUGUAGUGAAGAAAAAGUGUAAUAAUUACUAAUUAGUAUUGAAAGUGGUGAAAGAUGUUAUAAUUAGUAUUGAGAAUGGUGAAAGGUUGAAAAUUAAUAAUAAAUAAAGUAUUAUUUAUGGUGAUGUAAUGUUCCAAAAUGGAUAAAAAAUUAUUUGGGGGACGUCCCAAAAAAAAUAUAAGAAGUUAUUUGGGGACGGAAGGAGUAUGUAUAUAUACCUGGUUUGCGCCUGCUGCCCAGUGAAUCGCGGUGGAUGCUCUUAGUUUUUAAGCAUUUCAAGGUAUAAUUAGAAGAUAUAUAUAUUCACUGUGAGCAAGACGUUAAAUUAAAGCCUUGAUAUUAUUCAACAAUUAGGUUUGAGUGGGUAUUAGUAUAUAUUGUUUUUUUUAUAUACAUGUAGUACGAUGUUAUAAUAUUGGGUUGAGUUCACUGCAGUUAUAAAGCUUCCAUCAGGUUUCUAGUUUUUAAAACCUUUUGAGGUUCACAUUUAAACUUUAUGAUAUUACUCCUAAUUACAAUUGACCCAUAAUUUUAUUAAAAAGUUCAUCGUUCAAAAUGCAGUUAAUAGAUCAGUUCGGUUUUUGUGGUUUAUUGCAUUGCAUGUAUGUUUAUUUAUUACUUAUUUCUUUUAGGGAAUAUGAUUUACUUCAUCAUAAAAAUGACUAUAUGAGUCUUGUGUGUGAGACCGAUGAUUAUACGUACGUGGAUCCAAAAUAAGAUCGUAUGGAUUUGAAACUGAUUGUUAGUAGACGUUGACCUAUUAAAAAGUCCGACAAAAGAUUUUUAUGAUAAAUAAUACUGAGUUGAUGCAGAUUAUGAAUUUAUACUUUCAGAAAAUGUUGACGUAUGUUUCUUCCGAUUUGUUGAAAGUUUUUCUUUUUGGUAAAUUAUUAAUUUAAAGGUUAAAUGCAUUGCUGUACGUGGACUCGAAUCUAAGACGAACAAAUAAAUUUAUUGCAACUUCAUUUUCAAUUGGAGUUACUAGCUCGUAGAUUUGUGCAACAUUGUAUAUAUAACUAUGCAUGCUAUUUUCUGGGAGCAAUAAUAUUGUAACACCACAAACUCCUUUUUUUGAAACUCAGUUAAGACUCCAAAGUCAAUUGAAAUGAAAUUAAUUAAUGGGGACAUUCACAAGAAAAAUCUCCCAAACAUCAGCAAUUCAAACCGAGAUCUAUAACUCGUACAUAAUACGUGUGUAUUUGCUGACAUUAUAAACAAAAUUCAAAUUAUAAGUAUUAAUUAUGAGAAUAUUGAUUAGAAUUAUCCUCAGAAACUGUUUGGAACAAAUUAAAGGAGUCUAGCUUGUGGUGAGGGCAGCAAAACAAGAUUAAUUUCUAGAACAAAUUAAAGUUUGAUAAAUAAAAAUCUGAUCAUGUUAAUUACCAUAUACAAUAAGAAUUCUUGAAAUCUCUUGUGUUUGUAGUGGAAGAAGAUUAAACCUGCAAUUAAAGCAAAGAUGAGCACUGCCACAGAAUAUAUUCAUUCCUUGAGCAGCCCACCUUUUUUGACCAAAACAAAAAUCAGAAACCAUUCUGAUGGAUCAACAAUCUGCAAAUCACAUUACAUGAAUGUGUGUUUAGAAGCAACCUAAGAUUCUCCUACUUAUAACCUAGGAUUGUGAUAUAUGGUAUCUCCCAUCCCAUUACACAAUAUAUGCCGUCAGCAUAUAUUUUACUUCAUCAAUAUACAUACUCCUAUGCGUCACACAUACAAUGAAGAAAACACCAACUUUCUUUAUUAAAUAAAGAAAGCAACAUGCUUUAAACACACAUUCAUGUCAAUGUUGGACAAAAUGAGACUUCAACAUACAGAUUUAGGGGAAUCCCAACUUUAUUUAUUGAAGAAAUUCUACAAUGCAUAUGCUCAAUAUUUUUUUGAUCACCUAGCCUUCAAGUUUCAAUGUGUCUGAACUAAUCUUGAUAGAUAAAAAGGCACUAUAGCCCACAAAAACACAGACAAAUGAUAGUUGUCUGCAUGUACUGAAGUCCACUCAUUGUAAUAAGAAUAUAAAACGAUAUAAAAUCACACACACAGAAAAAUAUUUUGGGAGAUUUUUUUGGGUGUAUUUGGAAGAGGGAAAAAUAGGGUAAUAUGGGAGAGAGAGACAUCCCCCACAGCUAUCAUAAAAUUAUUAGAUGCAGUGUCACACUCAUCUUUUAUAUUGUACCUCUCAUUUAUUAUUGUCUCUGUCUUUUUCUCCUUACAUUCCCUUCUCCAUCCCACUAAAUGCUCUUUGCCUCCUUCCAUUCAUUUAUAUUUGAUCUUUUUCUUUAUUUUCCAACUGAAAUUCCCAGCUGAGUAGAAAACAUUCUCUCCUUCAAUUUAGGGUUUUCCCCCUCAUUAAUGAGGGUUAACUGCAAGAAUAUCUCAGCUCUCUGAAGCUUCUGUUGCUGCUGUUUCACGCACUCUCUCUCUCCCUCUUUUUGAGAAUUUGAAGAAGCAAACAACAGUUUUUUCUUGAAACAUCUCCCACACAAGGAAAAAGGUAGUUUACUUUUUUUCUUCUUCUGAUCAAAGGGAAACACUAGAGACAGGUAAAAAUUCAUCAAGCCCUUUUUGCUGCUUUUCAAUAUUAAUUUUUCACUUUAAUUUCUUCCUCUCUUUUUCAUUUUGUUUCUAGUAAGAUCAUAUAUAUAGAUAUAUAGUAACUUGAAAUCAUGCUUUCUUUUCGCUGACAGUUUCUUGAUCUAGGGUUUUGUUCUUGCUUUUUGCAGUGAUUAGCGUUUGAAAAAGGCAGGAUUUGUUACAAACCCCUUUGGUUAUAUAACUGUGACUAGAUCUCACCUUUAACUCAAAUUAAAGAUUUUGAGUUUAAUUAUUACAAAUUUAAAAGAUUGAAUUUUUCACACUUUAAUUGAGCUCUGUGUUUGGAGAUCUCUGACGGCUGGUUUAAUUUCUGAACCUUAAAUCUUCAAUUCUUGUUUUGUACUUGCACACACAUACACACACAUGCCCAAAUUUAUACAAUUAUGUAUAUAUAAAGUAUGUUGUACAGUUUUUGCAGCACUGAUACUAAAACUUGAGCCCAGAUGAUUACUUAGAAGUUAAAGCCCAUAUUCAAGAACUAUAUACUAUAUAAGUUGUGUAACAACAUGAAUUAUUAUUCCCAAAAGUAAAAAGAAAAAAAGAACGGAAUUCUUUAUAAUAAACACACAUAUAGGAAAAGCAAAAUGAAAACUCGAUGAUCUGGUCUAGAGACCGCGAGCAAUUCAACAGAUCUCAAAUUCAUCUACAGUAAUUACUAUAUUUCUGGUAACUAAGGAUGUUUUCAAACAAGAAGUAAAAGGGCAAAAAUGGUGAAAUGUGACAGAAAUAAUAAACACAUACACGUGCAGAAGCUAUGCAAAGUUAGUCUGAAAAAAAGUGGAAAUGAAUUUGUAAUUACUUGGGGGUGUGUGUGUGCAGAGAGGUAUGGCUUCGUCGAGUUCGUACAAUUCGCCGUGCGCGGCGUGCAAAUUCCUGCGGCGGAAGUGCAUGCCUGGCUGCAUCUUCGCGCCCUAUUUCCCGCCGGAGGAGCCGCAGAAGUUCGCCAACGUGCACAAGAUCUUCGGCGCCAGCAACGUGUCGAAGCUGCUGAACGAGCUCCUCCCCCACCAGCGCGACGACGCUGUUAAUUCGCUCGCCUACGAGGCGGAGGCGCGUGUGCGCGACCCCGUCUACGGCUGCGUCGGUGCCAUCUCCUUUCUCCAGAGGCAGGUCGACCGCCUCCAGAAGGAGCUCGACGCCGCCAACGCCGACCUCAUCCGCUUCGCCUGCGCCACCGGGAUUCCGCCCUCCCCGGCCCCGGUAGGCCCGCCGCGCCAGCGCCCGGGGGAGUAUAGUAGGAGGAUCGGAGACGGAGGCGGUGGUGGAGGAGGAGGUGGAUUUUAUCAAACACCUAAUAGCUACACAUUCCCUUAUAACUAUCAUUCCCCAUGGAAUGGCAGUUAUAAUCCUCAUGGAGGAGGAGGAGAUAUUUAAGGAGCCAUGAUUUCAUCUCUCUAGGGUUUGCCUCUCCUCUCUCUCUCUCUCUCUCCCUCCCUUUGAAAUUAAUCGUAUUCUGCAGUUUAUUUUUUUUUNCAAUUACAUGUCUAAGUCAUGGUUUUCUAGCUAUGUUUGUAGAGUCACAUGCAUCCCUCUAGCUGUCAAAAAAAAAAUUAUACUAUUAUUUUGAGGUGUUAAUUAGUAACUGUACGUAUUCCACUGCGCUUGAUCAAUUCAAAGAUUAUAAUCUGUGAGAUCAGGCUUGAUUUGGGGGGUUGGGGGGGUUGGGGGGGGGGGGGGUGUUUGAGUCUUGCUACACUAGUUUACUUGUACAAGAAAUGGGCAUGUGAUUGUUUUGUGGAAUUGAGAAUAAAAAGUUGUAUUUGUGUGUAAGAGUUGAAAUAUUUGUAAGAAGAUUCUCUAGCCAUGAGGUUGAUCUCCAUUCACCUACAUGUAUUCUUAAUUCUUGUUGAGGACCACUUCUUUAUUUUCUUGCUGAUAUCUAAUUGCAUAUAGGUUUUGGCUCGAAUCAAUACAUGAUAUAUAUGCACACACACACAUGAGAUUAGAUCAAUAAAUUAAUUUUUAAAAUUAAACUAAUAACCAUUUUCAGUUAUUAGAUCUUAAAGAUAACGUACGGUGAAUGCAUCACGAGGUUCUAGGUUCGAAUUCUAUAAAGGUGAUUUUUUUUUUUUAAUCAUCAUUUCUCACAUCAAAUUCUUCAAUCUAUAAUGGUUCAUAGUUUAUAUUGUAAACGAGCAUUUACUUUGGAAGAUUAGUAUUGAUAGAUAAAAAUAAUAAGGCUAAUUUCUUAUUUAAUUAUUUAGAUGGAUUGAAACUUUGGGAUAUCCCAAGACCCUUGAUAACUUCUAUCGUUUUAGCUAGUUUUACUUGAUUCAUAUCCCAUUAAUUAAAAGAGGGGAAUUGAAAAAAUCCUAGUAUGAAGGAUAAAAAUACUUAAUCAUACAAAGUAAACUCUCUUAAAAGGGUUCGUAGCAUAACCCUACAAUAUAUAUGUAUAUAGGCGCAACUUUGUAAACAGAAAACUAUGUAAAACAUGACAUCAUGAUAUAUGUUUGGCAUUAUAAUGCGUGUGUGUAGUGAAAAUGAUAUCUAUAUAUAGCUAGAAAUGAUAAUGAACUUAGAAUGUCAGACAUUUAAAUCCUAUAGUUAAUUGAUAUUCAAUUAAAUUAAUCAUAUGAAACAAGAUUGAUGAACAAAUCAAUAAAAUUUACGAACAAAUAUAUGAAUGUAACGUACGAACGACAUUCUUACCUAUGUGUGAAUCCUGAAGGGACGAAAAAUUUCACCACAUUAAUUAAUUACGGUUGUUCGUGCGUAGAUUUUAUUAACUUGUUUUUUACAUUGUUUUGUUGGUAGAUUGUAAGCUGUAAGAUUGGACUGUAGAUAUCAAUUAUCUUACAUCUUAGAAUAAUGUCGUUUCUCAUUCUAUCCACUUCAUAUGGUAUACGUACAUGUCAUUAUCAAGAACACGCAGUAAAUGAGGAGGAGAGAGGGCCCUUUUGUAAUAAAGGAAUUUUCGACAGUCCAAAGAAAAUGUCUUCAUGAAAUAUAAUGUAAAACUUUAUAUGUAGUGAAACAUGUCUAUCACAUAUACUGUUUAGCUAAGAAUAUUUGAAUCUUUUGUACCUAAAGAUGGAGUGUGAAUCUUAUCACAAAUUUUAAGCUUGUGAACCUCACAGCUUUUGCUCCGGACACCUUCUACAGUGAGCAACAGCUCUUUCUUGCAUUGGAUCCAUAUUGUAGGUGGUGGCCUCCCCAUUUACACAUUUUUUNAUUUUUCCAAUUUCUAAAAAUUUUCAAUAAAAUUUAGUGUAAUCUAGUACAAAAGUAAUCAAUUAGAUAAUUACUAAACUAUAUAUGUUGAAGCAAGUAGUUUUAGGAGACCAAUUAGAAUUUUUACCUAAAGCACUAGGGUUAGGGUUUCAAUCCAAUGAAUAUGAGAAGAAAAUGUGAUGCAUGUGCUUGUCAAUCUUGUCAAUACUCUUUAACAUCCAAUCAUCCCUAGCUAGCUACUUGUGUAACUUCCUCAUAAUUAUCAUUUGCAUUUGCUUACCUUUUUAAAAUUGGAGAAAUUUAUAAUUUUUACCCAUAAUUAAUUAUUAUGGAGAAUAUAUAUGAUGAGUCUCCAAAUUAAGUCACAAUAGUCCUAGAAAAAUGAAGAAAAGUAUAUUUGGUAGUUUGACAUCAUUUUGAAUUAGUAUCAGAGUUAUUUGAGGACAAGACUUUUUUUGAAAUAGAACACUUAUUCCAGGACAAAGGGAAUGAUUUGAUACCUUUUAUAAUUUUGAAAAAGAUUGCUCAAGAUAUUAUAUUAUAAUUAGUAAAUGAAUGAAUUAAAGAUGAAAAUAAGUUUCAAUGAUUUCAUGUUAUUAGACGGAAUUUAGAUUUUAGAUAUGGCUGGGAAUAGAUUGCAGUGUGUGAAGCAGUGUAAAGUGGCUUUUUCCACACAUUUCAGAGCUAGUAUGCAGAAGCUUUCUGUCACUUCUGUUCUUCCCUUACAAAUUUAUUUGAAGUCUGCUUUUAGACUCUCUCUCCUGUUCUGUGUGUCUCGUGUGUUUCUCUCUCUAGUUGUCUAUCAUCCUCCAAUUCGGAAAAGUCUAUGCUACACCUAUGCGUAAAACGCCUUCACGCUAGGAUCAUUACACGUGUAAAGCGCUUAUAAACCAGCUACUGCAUGUUCCUGUUUUCCGGUUUCGAAAUGUUUUGGUUUUCGGAGGCUGAGGUCCGUACAAAUUGGUGUGAAGGCCACUAAUACUUAGACACGUCAAAGGCGUGUAGAUAUACUACUUAGUUAACUUUUUCCUUUUACUUUUUUUUGAGAAUACUUUUUCCUUUUACUUACUUCGUCGUCUUCAUUCCCCUUUUUACCAUACAUGAUCCACCUUCAAAUUUUAUUUUUUCUGCANAAAAUAAAUAAACUGAAAAUUUGAAAAUAAAUAAAUAAACUGGAAAAUUCGAAAAUAAAUUAAUAAAUAAACUGAAUAUUCGAAAAUAAAUAAAACUGGAAAAUUUGAAAAUAAAUAAAUAAAUAAACUGGAAAAUUCAGAAAAUAAAUAAAUAAACUGAAAACUUAAUAAAUUGGAAAUCAUUUUUCAGAAAAUAAAUAAACUGAAAACUCGAAAAUAAAUAAAUAAAUAAAUAAAUAGACUGAAAAUUCAGAAAAUAAAUAAAUAAACUGGAAAUAAAUAAAAUAGAAAUAAAUUUUUCAAAAAAUAAAUAAAAUGAAAAUUCAAAAAUAAAUAAAUAAAUAAACUUGAAAUUCAGAAAAUGAAUAAAUAAUCUAAAAAUAAAUAAACUAUAAAUAAAUUUUUCAAAAAAUAAAUAAACUGAAAAAAUUCAAAAAUAAAUAAAUAUAUAAAACUCAUAAGAAUAAUUUAAUCUGAAUAAUAUAAUGUUGGGGUUCUUUUAUUAUUUUGUAGAAAUAUCGAAUAGAUGUGGGGGUCUUUUUAUAAUUUUAUAUGAAUAUAGGGUAGGCUUGUAAUUAUCAUAAAAGUUUAUAUGGGGAGUUUGAACAGUUUUGAAAGUAUUUGAUAAUCUGUGGAUUUUUUAAAGUUCGUGCGGAAAAUGGAUUUUAAACAAAGUUAGUGAUAUUAUACGCAAUUAACCCUAAAGUUAACAAUUAUUACUUUUAUUGAGUAUUUAGUUUGAUAAUGAAAACAAAUCACUAGGAAGGGAUUUUCUUUCUUUUGUUUUCCCUUCAUUUUGAGGGGUAAUAAUUGAGUGCUUGCAUUACCCUCAAUUAAGAAUAAUGAUUAACUGCAUAAAAAAAAAGAAUAAUACUAACAAAAGAGUAAUUGAUUCAAUUAAUUGAAUUCUUUUUUUUAUUUUCAAAAAUAUCCAACUAAACAUGGACUUAAUGAUAAAUGUGUCAUAAGGUGAGCCCAGUAAAAGGUUGUAAUUAAAAUAUAUUAUUUCAAUAUUAAGGGACAGAGUGAGUGUGAUAUUGAAACUAAGCUCUCCCGGAAAAGUCUAUGCUACACCUAUGCGUAAAACGCCUUCACGCUAGGAUCAUUACACGUGUAAAGCGCUUAUAAACCAGCUAAUGCAUGUUCCUGUUUUCCGGUUUCGAAAUGUUUUGGUUUUCGGAGGCUGAGGUCCGUACAAAUUGGUGUGAAGGCCACUAAUACUUAGACACGUCAAAGGCGUGUAGAUAUACUACUUAGUUAACUUUUUCCUUUUACUUUUUUUUGAGAAUACUUUUUCCUUUUACUUACUUCGUCGUCUUCAUUCCCCUUUUUACCAUACAUGAUCCACCUUCAAAUUUUUAUUUUUUUUUCUGCAUGUGGGUGAAGCUUGUUUCGUCCGAAAUUUAAGAAAUUGUUUGGUUUAUGUUUUGCUUCCAUGGAAUCCCCACGAGUUUAUAUUCCGGGUAAUUUAUUUUCUAGAGCACGUUUUUUUUAGGGAAUUCUAGAGCACGAUUAUUAUGUGUUAAUUUUUGCAUUUCUUGUCUAAUGGAAAUUGUAGUUAUCAGUUUUUGUUAUUUUAGCAUGUUAAUUUGAGGCGAUUCAUAUUGUUUUUAUUUUGUAUUUAUUAUGGAAGAAAAUGUGAAAGUUAGAUUAUUAUUACGGAAAUGAUCAUUUUGUUUGGAAAUUUUUAUUUAUUGAUAGGCAUUUCGAAAAUUACCUUUUUUGAUGGGUAAUCAGAAUAUAGUGGAUUUUGAUGGGUAAUAUGAUUAUGGUGGAUUUUGUUAUGCCGUUAUUUUUAACAAUUUUUUAUAUUAAUUAUGUGCAACAAAUUACCCUUUUCUUUAAAACAGAAAUUGUAUGAUAGGUUAUUCUUAUUAAGUUAAAUGUAAGAAUCUGUAGACCAAUAAGAGACUGAGUAAUGUGUUUUCGUGGAUUUUGUCCCCCUUGCCUGUUUUUUAUUGUAUUUCUAUUUACAUUUUUUGGUAUGAAUAUUGUUGUAGGUGUUGAGUUAACAACAAAAUGCCAUUUAUGGUACCUUGAUGACAUAAGACAUGGAUUAUCGGAGUCUAACUUUUGUAUUUUACGAAACUCCAUGUUCGGUCAUUUAUUUGAUAUUGGUGAGAUGAAAUUCCAAGGUGAAUUGUGCACUUUGUUAUGUAAGAGACUACAUUCUAGUAGUUUGAAUAGAAAUUCCUUGGAGUUUAACUUUGGUGGAUUUUUGGUUGAAUUUGGGCAAGCCGACUUUUGUCUUAUGAGUGGAUUGAAGUUUGGUAAGAAACCGUCUGUCCCUACGCACUCUAGAUUCCAUGGAGAUGUUUUCGGAGCUCAAAGUAAGUUGGUAUAUUCCGAUAUACAAAAUGCCUUUAGAAAGGAGUGUUUGUUUAGUGGUGGCAAAUCUGUUAGAAGUUUGAAGCUAGCCUAUUUGUUUAUUGUUUAUGGAUUGCUCUUGAUGGACUACCCAAGUUCGGGGAGCAUUGAUUUAGGGUAUAUGCAUUUGGUAGAUGAUGAUGUGGAAUUUCAUGAAUUUCCAUGGGCGCUUGUAGCUUAUGAGUGUCUGGUGACAUGUACACAUAGGUUGAAGAGAGAAUUGUCCUCAUUAGUUAAUGGUCCGAAACAGCAUGCAUUUGAAGCUAGUGGAUUCGUAUAUGCCUUACAGUGUUGGGCUUAUGAGGUAUUACCUGCGCUUGGGACAUUUUGUGCUUCCAUGAACCCUAGUAAUUUGAUGGCAUUCCCUCGAAUUUUGAGAUGGUUAGUUACUAAAGAUUUGAAAUCAUGUGAAGACGGGUUAUGCAAGUUUUUCUUACCCGAGCAUGGGUCCGAUCCAGUAAGUUAUUCAUAAAUUUAUUCUUAUUUUCAUGUUCUUAAAAGUUUAUCCUAAUAUAAAUUAUGACUAACAACAAUUAUAUUUGAUUAGGUUGGUUUGGUUUUAUCAAGUUCUGAUAUUACUAAAUUGGUGGACCUUGGCGUCAAUUAUUCUAUGAAUUUCUCGUCUCCUACACCGUUAGUCGACUUAUCAAAGCGUGUUGGCCGGAAACUAGUUUUUGAUAGUGGCGAAAAUCAUGAAGAAAAAUCGAAUAAGAGUUCGUAUAAGAGGAAGAGUGCACCAAAACGUGAGUCACCCAACCUCACGAACACUCCGAAACUUAAAGAAGUUAUUGAAUCAUCAGGUGUUGGAAAUAAAAGUGUAAAAUCAAUGUCGAAGAGAAGGUGUAGUAAGAGUUCUCAGCAUGCGAGUACAUCGAAAACCGACGUGCUUACUCCCGAUAGUGGUAAUUUUUUUAGUCACAACAAUUACAACGUGAGUGAAGUUAUUCUUUGGUAGUUGAUAUGUUUGACGGUAGUUUUUGUAAUUUAUCGAAUUAUACCAUUUGAUUUGUAAUUGCUUCAUUGCAGGAGGUGAUGUCUAUUGUUGUUCAGUUGAAGUUGCAAUUGAAGAGCUUAGAAGAUCUCAUGUUGUCGAAGUUCAACCUAUUUGCAGGAAUGUUUGAGAAAUUCGCUGGUCAUAAGUGUCAUUGCUUUAAUAUUUUGGAAAGUGGGGAGGCUGGAAAAAAAGAUUGUGAAUUCAUUGGCGAGUUUAUGCGAGAAGGCAAAACUUAUGUUCGUAAUGAAGUUUAUUUCGGAACAUCAACUAUGGGUGGAAUGCAUGGUAGAUUUGGUGCUCAUCUUAGCUCGAAGGAUGCUUCAGACGAAGCUAAGCUUGGCCAUGUACUAUAUGAUCCUAAUGAGAUUGAUGUUGGAGUGUCGGAACUUGACGCGUAUUUUUCGUGGUUCGACUCGGCUUCCAAGUCUUUUGGGUAUUUACUAUAUCAUUAUUUUUUUAUUGCUUAGUGAGUAUUUAUUUUUAGUUAUAACUAACACGCUCUUUUUGGUAUUGUACGUUAAAUUUGUAGGAAUACACAUGUAUUGCUUCCAAGUGAAAUUUUGAAGUAUGGAGAUGUAGGUUGGUUUAAAGAUCUUUGUAGACGUGAUGGUUGGCUAGACAACACGGUUUGUCUUUCUAAUAAUUUAUUUUAAGGAUAUUUUGUUGAACAUUAAUUGCAUGGACCGUUGAGACGACUGAAAUAAUAUUUUUCUUAUAAUGAAUUUCAUGUACAGCACAUUGAUGCUCUUACGAAUUUGUUGAUCUUGCGAUAUGAUAAAGAUUUUUGCACUCCGAAGCCUAGAAAAUGGACAUGUAUGGAAACUCAUUGUUGGGUAAGUUGUGAAUAUUAUAUUCAAUUUCUGCUUAUAUUUUUUAUUGGUGAAUUGCUUGUUGCAGUAUUAUUGAAAUAUUUAUUUGAUAUUUUUGUUUGUGGUUGGGCUGUAUGCAGCAAAUAUUAAGAGAGGGUAAUAUGGGAGAUUCUGCUUCAAUGUUGUUGCCGUAUGUUAGAGGCGAUAAGCCGUCUACUGGUGGUGUCAAUUGGAUAGAGGUGAGCCAUGUGUUUGGCGUGGCUAAUAUCAACAAUUCCCAUUGGGUUUUGUACGUGGUCUCUUUGCAUGAGCAAGUGAUUACAGUUUAUAACUCAUUUAAGCAGCCAUGGGAGUGCAUUUUAAGCCAUUUCGACAAUUUCCGCAACAACAUAGCCACCAUCUGUGCAAUUGGAGCUAUAUGGGAACGUUCAUCUUGUAGAAGAUCACCUUUAAAGACACGUUGGGAUAUCAUUGAAUUUCUGAAUCCACCAAGGCAGGUUAAUCACAACGAUUGUGGUGUUAUGGUAAUUAAGUUCAUGGAGUGCCUUGCAUAUGACUUCCCCGUAAGAGCCAUCAACCCCAAAAUUUGUGAGGAUUCUCGUCGUUGGUAUUGUGCGAAGCUUUUGAAACUUUCCCGUGAGUUGAACGAGGAGAAAAGCUAAUGAUGUGGUUGAAACCCUUAGUUUUUGGUACAUUGGCUGCAUAUUUUGGAUUUUUUUGUAAGCAGACCUUUAUAUCGUAGGUUAUCUGCGAUAUCUUUCUGAGAAAACCCUAAAUUCCUAGGUUUACAUGGUUUCUCAUCUUAUGUGGCAAUUAUUGUUUUGUAUGUGAUGUUUUCUUUUGUUUGGUAAGAACAAUGACAUUAUUUAUGGGAAAUGGUGAUGAUGGUUAAUGUAUUUUUUUCACAAAAAAAUUCAUUUAUCUUACAGUUACUUUUCUAUGAUGAACAUGUGUUUCAAUACGUAUUAUAUUUAAUAAAAAAUUUCAUUGAUUUACAAUGUCAAGUAAUCACAACAAUGCAUGCAGGGUGAUUCUUUAAAGUUUUACUUGUCAAACUUCAUCUAUCACGUGAAUGCAUAGUAUUUGACCGAAUAUUAUUUUGUCUCUUGGGACAAACACUAAAAAUCAAAAAAAGAAUCAAGUGAGAAUAUAUUCGUUGUUGUAGUACCCUUUCCUUAUUUUUAUUCAUAGAUGAAAUGAUUAGAUUCCUUAUUUUAUUAAAUUCAGCCGAAAGGGAAGCAAUGCAACUAAAGCUAGAUAAAAUGGUUAAAGCGUCUGCAUUUUAAGGGAAAUAUUAUUCAAGAUUUUUUAGUUUACACGUUCUCCUCUGAAGGCACCUCUCAAACAAAAGAAAAACCCAUGUUGUACUGAGAGACGGAGCUUUGACAGUCCUUUGGACGGUAAUUUAUCAUCCAAGUAAUUGGGAUGAGCUAUUCACAAUCAACUCCACAGGUUCGUAUAAAUAUGCUUCGACUUGGAUUUCAUGUGUUUUUUUCGUCCAGUCACCACUCGCCUUUUUUUUUUUUCGCGAAUAGUUUGUUACAUGCCUCUUUUUUUGUUAUAUUAGAAGUGAUAACGAUGGAUGUCGUGUGUCGGUUUUCUUAAUUUUGUAGGCUACCUUAUUUGCAGAUAGUUGAUAGAUGUUGGAUACAAUACACGUAAAAAGAGAAUUAACUAGUGCAAGCCAUUAGUUGUAUUAGCAGAUGGAUACGUGUCCACUACAUGGAAGAGCAUUUGUGAUGUGUCCUCUUAUUAUGAAUUCCUUCUCAUCGUUUGUGAGAAUUAAUGCCGGCCAAAUUUAAUCCAAUUAUGGUGGGUAUUACGAUGCUACGUUUACCAGUGAGUAUUUAGAGAAUAUCAACUGCUAAUUUUAUGGCCAAAUUAUUUUCCGGUGAUGAUUUUCACAUCUUUACAGACGCUAGGAAUUGAAGUAGAAAUCUUUCAAUUCUUUCUCUCAUGCUCUAUCCAUCAGAAAUGGCAAAUGAUAGAGUAGUUGUCGAUGGCUUUUGUUUUUUGAUGACUUUGUGAUUAUUGAGUUGUGAUUCCUGUAUUUUAAUUACUUCCAUAAUUUUUAUAAUGUGUUUGGGUUGCUCUUAUAAUUUAUUUCAUUUAUUAAAUCAACUCUAAUUUAAAAUCUGAAAUUGAAAUGAGAUUACACGAUUUUAUAGUAAUAUAGUAAUUUAAAAACAAGUUUUGAAUACAAAAGUUUAGAAUAAUUAAUUUUAAAAAAAUACUAUCAUUUAUCAGUUUAACAAAUCAUUUAUAUGAUGUAGAGCUUCCUCUUCAUAAACUAAAUAACUCAUGGAUUUAUAAUGAUUAUUUAAUAAUAGUAUUAUAUAUUAUAUAUAUAUCAAAAUCAUGAGAAAUAAUNCGGCGGUAUUCUCAUUUUUGUCGACGGUAUUCUCAAUUUACUCGGCGGUUUUCUCAUUUUUCUCGACGGUAUUCUCAACUUACUCGGCGGUAUUCUCAUUUUUCACAAAAACAAGAAACUAAUAGGUGUCUAAAAUGGCCCUCACCCACUUUACACACUCAACCCUUUAUUCUUAAUCUCCGUGCCCAAAAUAAAAGUGUCAAUUGAAGUGGGACGGAGGGAGUAUAAAUUACUCUUAUUUGUAAUGAUUGAAUAAUUGAUAAAAUUUUCGCUCCCUUCAGAAUUUGAAGUCAGAUAAAUUUUCGUAUCUUUUAAAUAAAUAUCAAUUGUGGUGAUCCUAAGGGCUCACAUAUUUUACCCCUUAUCAAAUUAUAGAAUCUGAAAAUCUAAUAUUACAAAUUCAUUCUCAUUUUCCACCAUAUUUGUUUAUUCUCUUCGAUCUUCUAUCACUCUCUAUAAAUCUCUAUAUAUAUUAUGUUGCCUACUUUAUUUGAUCACUUUAAUUAUAAUAAGUAUUGCUGAUCUUAACGUUACUUCUUUUGUUUUAUAUAUUCAUUUUAAUUUUACUAUCUCAUAAUUAAUUAUUAUUGAAAUUAUCAAUUUCAUAAAUUAUAAUAAAAAAUUAAAAGUUCAAUUUAUUUAUUUUCUAUUUAUCUUCAAUUCGAGAGUUUUAGCUUUUGUAUAAUUUAUAAAAUCAAUGACAUCAAUAAUAAUUUAUAAGAUGUUAGAAUCAAUAAUAAAAAUUUCGGAAGGCAAAUCUCCCGCCCUAACCAAAAAAUUUAUAUACUCCAACCCCCCCAAUCCUAAAAUCCCCCAAUUGUCCUCAACAACAAUGGCGGAAGAUGCAGAAGCGGGUAUUCCAAGCUUCUAUAUCCGAAUUAAAAACACAGAUCAACUGGAUUUUAUUGUGAGCAUGAAUUCGCAGUAUUGAAUUUAAUUUUUUCAGUUGAGUAAGGAAUGUUUCUUGUUUACUGAUUACUGCUGUUUUUUUUUGAAGCGUUUGCCUUACAAUAUCUCAUUUGCAAUUGACGGCAUGAAUGCAAGAAUCGCAACACUGCGAACUCACGGAGGAGCUUGGAAGGUGUGGGUUACGAAGGAGGGUCGUGGUCGACGUAUCUACUUCCGCCAUGGGUGGCGACAAUUUGUGCAGCGUAAUGCUGUGCGUGUUGGUGUUCUUCUCACGUUCAACAAUUCUGAGAAACUUGACUUCAAAGUUCAAUUAUUCGGACGGGAUGGCACCGAAAUUCAGCAACAACCUUGUUGUACAUGUGCUAUUCACACAGAACGGGGGGAAAUGCAACACCAACUUCGACUGGAGUCUAUUACUGGGCUAGGAGGCUGGGCGAACAAGUUUCGCUACCCCAACACCCCUUUCAGCCGGGUGGUAAGAGCGUCAAUGGAUUUUGUUGCGUAUUUGUUUACUAUGGUUUGAUGGUGAGAUUAACAAAUUUCAUGAAGUUGUGCAGGCCUUACCAAGAUGGGUUUCCGAUUUACCAGGGUUUAGUGAAAGGCAAUGUGUGAGUCUCGUAGAUGGUGAGGGUAUAAGCUGGCCCGUCUCAAUUACACGUGAAAGUGAAACGGACAAUACACUCAAGGCUUUUCUUGGCGAAGGGUGGCAUGAAUUCUACAAUGGACAUGGACUUGAAGUUGGAGACGUGGUUUCCUUCAACAUACUAGGACACUGUAGCCGAGAUGAUACAUCAACAUUUGAAGUAAAAAUUCGACAUUUCUUGUGGCGCGACGGUAGAUAUGUUAUUGUUGAUUACUGAGGUUGUAUACAAAUGUUGAUGUAAUUUGUAUACAAUGUCUUGGUCGAUCGAGUAUGAAGAAAAGCUGUAGCGCAAAUGAAACUUGUAUACAUGUUACUGCAUGUGUAUUCUAAGUUUCCACCAUGAUGGUUUAAUUCUAAUUAAUUAUGUUGUUUUACAUUUGACGGUGCCCCCGUUUACAAUGUUCGAAGAUCCCUCAACGAUGUAUUCAUAUUCUGUUUUAUUAAGUUAGUAUGAACAUACUAGCUACAUCCUAUGUUAUUUUUAACCAAUAUUCUAAAAUAAGUUUUUUUUAUAAAGUACUUAAGCAUAUUUAGUCUACUCGUCUUCUGGUAAUUGCGUCUUUUAGACGUCACAAGGAAAAUAUCAGACCAUAUUUUAAAAGGAUAUUUAUAAACUUUAAAAGGAUUUAAUUACAUUUAUUAGAAAAAAUAAUAAAUUUAGCUGAAUUCUAGUAUUUUAUUUUGCCCCUAAUAUUUUAAAAUAAAUUUAUUUUAUGAAGUAUCUAACCAUAUUUUGUCCGGCCAAAUUUUGUCUAAAUAGGAUUGCAAUAAAUCUAUGCAGCUACAUUGUGGCCACCCACACACUAGUGUAAUAAGGAAAAUCUUGAUUACAACAAAAAAUUACAAAAAAAUAAUUACAAUGUAGAGAAUAUUAUAAAAUAGCUAAAUCUCAUUUUUAUUUUAAAAAAUAAGUUAAAUAAAUUAAAUUAUUUUUUGCUUUCGGUAAAUUGUGGGUAGUCACAAUGUGACCCAUAAGAUUAAUGUUAGAUUUCAGUAGUACACGUUAAUUUAAAAAGAAUUGCAAUAGCUGUACAGUAGUCUUUGGGUUACGUGUUUUAGGCGUCGAAGUAGAGAAGAAAAGAUCUGAUUGACUACUCCCAAAAUUCAGAUUUUCUCAGGAAACUUUUCCCAUGAAACCUGGUAAAGAAGUCUACUUGAUGGACAUUUAGUAGAGGACGUGUCUAAUUCUCAUUUGAAUUCAAUACUGUUGGCUUGAGAAGUUGUAAAGCAAAACAGCUUUAUUUGGUUUUUAUCAUUUGAUUUUUAAAACAAAAUUAUUUAAGUUAAAACAAAUUAAGUUAAAACAUUUUUUCAAAUUCCAUAGUGUAUUCAAUUAUUUUAUCGGUAAGAAAUGAAUGAAAAAACAACUACGCAAAGUAGAUGAAUAAUUUGCAUGGAUUAAAUGCGUCAUUUGCAUUGAAUGCUCACCUACACAAUUAAUGCAUUGUUUGGGGAGUUUAUUUAAGGCGAGAAAUAAUGCUGGAUUUGCAUUAGUAAUGGAUGAUUCAAAAAAAAAAACCCAGCCCUCUUAUCUGAAGCCACUCUCGGCCAUCCCUACACCCAAAAUUACAUUUGGAUGUCCUGUAUUGGAUUGUUUGUUCGGAGGUGGAUUACGCUUGCAAAUUGUUACGGAGAUCGUUGGUGAAAGCGGAACGGGCAAAACACAAAUAGCCCUUCAAUUAGCACUCAAUGUUCAAUUGUCUUUAGUGCAUGGUGGACUUGAGGCAUCGUCUUUGUAUAUAUACACUGAUUUUGCGUUUCCAAUGAAGAGGUUGCACCAAUUAUCUUCACGUAUCAAAAACUUACCAGCAAACCCAUUAGACAAGGUAUUUGUCCAUGGUGUAUAUUGUGUGAACGACCUUACUCGAUUUUUAGAUGGUGUGGAUUUGCAGAUUAAAUCUUGUAAUAUUAAGCUAAUUAUUAUAGAUUCUAUUGCUACUUUGUUUAGAUCUCAGUUUGCAAACACAGGUUGCGAUAUGUCUCGAAGACUCAAUAUUUUUUUCAAGCUAUCGUCUCGGCUAAAGCAAUUGGCUUCAUUGCACGACUUGGGUGUGUUUGUAACGAACCAAGUGGUAGAUGUAAUGCCCGGAAACAACACACCUAGAGUUGGUAACGAUGUCAAUUUGAUUACUAGUGGAAGGAAUGUAACACCUGCUUUAGGCCUAUCAUGGUCAAGUUGUGUUAAUUGUAGACUAGCGAUUCUCAUUAUUGACAAAGAGCAAGCAACGACAUCGUCGUACAAAUUUUCUAGGAAAAGGAGGAUUUUAAAAGUUGUAUUUGCACCAUACUUGGGAACUCCGUCGGCUGAAAUUAUCUUUGAAGACUACGGUAUAGUUGGAAUGUAGAUCCAAGUCUUGCUUCGAAUUUGUGUUUAUUACUCCCUCCUUUCCCAAUUAUAAGAUGUUAUAGCUUUUUGCACUAUAAUGAAGAAAAAUUAAUUGCCACCAAUUUUAAGAACUCGAUUAUCUUUUUUCACACCCAUCAUGCUAUCCUUUAUUCUACUCCAUAUUCCUAUAAACCUCUAUAAACUUAUGAAGCCAAAACUUACGAAACAAAAAAAUCGCAUUCAAUGUUUUAGGUACACUUAAAAAAAUUAAAGAGCCAAAAAAAUACAUUCAACCAAAUGAAUAUAAUUUCAAAUAGAGUCAAAUUUUAAGAUUUCAUAUGGAGUCAAAUGGGUGUCGCACGCAAAGGAUGAUUUCUUAAAAUUAUGUGAGUUAAUUUUUGACAACAAAAUUUAAUAACUUGGUAUUAUUCCAUCACAAUAUAUCUAGCAAAUAGAAUUUCUCCUACAACUGUAAAACCACCUAAUAUUCUUAUCAGUAAAUUUGUAUUCACAAAGUGCAUUGCGCCUUUCAAGAUAUUUUCGGGAACACAAAAUGUAAAUCCGAAGCAAAAAGACAUCAUAACCUAUUAACCUACUCUAUUCACUAAUAAGUGUUUCUAACCCUAGAUUUGGAAGAUGAUCUAUUUAAACCCCUUCAUGCGAAACCAAAUAACACAACUCCUACACCACUUAGAUUAUAAGAAAGAAUAGCAUGCCUCGCUACAUGAGAUCCACACGUCGCCGCGGAAACGACAACAACGGAGUCGACGAUCGGAGCAUCUUCGCACUCAUCGACGAGUACGAGGAUGAGAACGCUAUGGGGGGGAGCAGUGACGUCCAACCGCAAGCCGUUGAGCUUCCAAAGUUGUAUGAAGGUGUAAUCGACGUCGACGAUUCCGACUGCGACGAAAUGCAUGAUGAAAUGGCGCUGAUUUGCCCCUGCAAACAGUGUAGAAUGACAAGGAAAAAAGCGAAGAACAUCGCUAUCAAUGCUGCCAAGGAUCCACACUUGAAAUGCCACAUUUGUCACGAUGCAACUGUUCAAGGUGGAUCACAUUUUGCAUG